GGUCUGCUUUUGCUGACAGUUCUCUGUGCAUUCUUCGAGGAAACUGAAGCAAAUCCAUUUGUUUACAGUAAGUAGCUCAUUCCUCUACACUCAUUCAAAGGGAACUGAUAAAUCACCACCAACAAACAAAAUUAACGUAGUGACUAUGAGAGACUACGAAUUGGAGGCCUGAUCAUUGCAGGCUUGCUUGUAGUAGGUGGCUUGUUUGUCCUACUUAAUCCCAAAUGCACUAGAAAAAACAAAAAAUCUGAAGAUGACACAAGUGAACUCUAAGCAUCUCUAAA